rnacentral:rRNA from 2 species
UUGGAGGGUUUCCGCCCUUCAGUGCCGCAGCUAACGCAUUAAGCAUUCCGCCUGGGGAGUACGACCGCAAGGUUGAAACUCAAAGGAAUUGACGGGGGCCCGCACAAGCGGUGGAGCAUGUGGUUUAAUUCGAAGCAACGCGAAGAACCUUACCAGGUCUUGACAUCUUUUGAUCACCUGAGAGAUCAGGUUUCCCCUUCGGGGGCAAAAUGACAGGUGGUGCAUGGUUGUCGUCAGCUCGUGUCGUGAGAUGUUGGGUUAAGUCCCGCAACGAGCGCAACCCUUAUGACUAGUUGCCAGCAUUUAGUUGGGCACUCUAGUAAGACUGCCGGUGACAAACCGGAGGAAGGUGGGGAUGACGUCAAAUCAUCAUGCCCCUUAUGACCUGGGCUACACACGUGCUACAAUGGAUGGUACAACGAGUUGCGAGACCGCGAGGUCAAGCUAAUCUCUUAAAGCCAUUCUCAGUUCGGACUGUAGGCUGCAACUCGCCUACACGAAGUCGGAAUCGCUAGUAAUCGCGGAUCAGCACGCCGCGGUGAAUACGUUCCCGGGCCUUGUACACACCCCCCGUCACACCAUGAGAGUUUGUAACACCCGAAGCC